rnacentral:rRNA from 1 species
UAAUACAUGCAAGUCGAACGAACCAUCCUGAAGAUUGAAGCUUGCUUCAUGAUUCAGAUUUUGGUGAGUGGCGGACGGGUGAGUAACACGUGGGUAACCUGCCCAAAAGUGGGGGAUAACAUUUGGAAACAAGUGCUAAUACCGCAUAACAACUACUUUCACAUGAUCGUAGCUUGAAAGAUGGCUCUGCUAUCGCUUUUGGAUGGACCCGCGGCGUAUUAGCUAGUUGGUGAGGUAAUAGCUCACCAAGGCAAUGAUACGUAGCCGACCUGAGAGGGUAAUCGGCCACAUUGGGACUGAGACACGGCCCAAACUCCUACGGGAGGCAGCAGUAGGGAAUCUUCCACAAUGGGCGAAAGCCUGAUGGAGCAAUGCCGCGUGAGUGAAGAAGGUUUUCGGAUCGUAAAACUCUGUUGUUGAAGAAGAACAUGCGUGAGAGUAACUGUUCACGUACUGACGGUAUUCAACCAGAAAGCCACGGCUAACUACGUGCCAGCAGCCGCGGUAAUACGUAGGUGGCAAGCGUUGUCCGGAUUUAUUGGGCGUAAAGAGAAUGUAGGCGGUUUAUUAAGUUUGAAGUGAAAGCCCUCGGCUCAACCGAGGAAGUGCUUCGAAAACUGGUAAACUUGAGUGCAGAAGAGGAAAGUGGAACUCCAUGUGUAGCGGUGGAAUGCGUAGAUAUAUGGAAGAACACCAGUGGCGAAGGCGGCUUUCUGGUCUGUAACUGACGCUGAGAUUCG